rnacentral:rRNA from 1 species
UACGUAGGGGGCGAGCGUUGUUCGGAAUUACUGGGCGUAAAGGGCGCGUAGGCGGCCCCUUUUGUCGCGUGUGAAAGCCCCGGGCUCAACCUGGGAGGUGCGCGCGAAACGGGGGGGCUUGAGUUCGGGAGAGGAGCGUGGAAUUCCCAGUGUAGAGGUGAAAUUCGUAGAUAUUGGGAAGAACACCGGUGGCGAAGGCGGCGACCUGGUCCGAUACUGACGCUGAGGCGCGAAAGCGUGGGGAGCAAACAGG